CGCCGCCAUUUUGGGAGCUUCGAGUCAACAAUAAAGGGCCGAGGGUGCGAGCGGAGCGGCCUCGGCGAUUGAAGUGAGUGAAUUCAGAUAUAUAACCAAACCUCGUUAGAGAGCCUUUAAAAAAAUAAAAAGUUGAUUCGGUGCAUGAGAGCAAGUUACUGCUGCUUACUAUUCAGAGACUUACAGGUGCUUGCCUGCAUUGCAAUAAAGGACUCAAUAUUGAGCAAGACUUAUAUUUAUCUCUUCAUUUUGGAGAGCCUAAUAAACUGUAUUACAGUUUCUCUACUGACUUUCAAAAGUUUUGAAGUUUGGAAGAGACAUCUGUACAUUUAAUACAGCAUGAGCACGGCCAGAACAGAGAACCCUGUUAUAAUGGGUCUGUCCAGUCAAAAUGGUCAGCUGAGGGGCCCUGUGAAGCCCAGUGGUGGCCCCGGAGGAGGGGGCACACCAACACAGCAACAGAUGAACCAACUGAAAAACACCAACACAAUCAAUAAUGGCACUCAGCAGCAAGCACAGAGUAUGACCACCACUAUUAAACCUGGUGAUGACUGGAAAAAGACUUUAAAACUCCCUCCAAAGGAUCUAAGAAUCAAAACUUCGGAUGUAACCUCCACAAAAGGAAAUGAGUUUGAAGAUUACUGUUUAAAGCGGGAGUUACUGAUGGGAAUUUUUGAAAUGGGCUGGGAAAAGCCAUCUCCUAUUCAGGAGGAGAGCAUUCCCAUCGCUUUAUCUGGUAGGGAUAUCUUAGCUAGAGCAAAAAAUGGAACGGGCAAGAGUGGUGCCUACCUCAUUCCCUUACUUGAACGGCUAGACCUGAAGAAGGACAAUAUACAAGCAAUGGUGAUUGUUCCUACAAGAGAACUUGCUCUACAGGUCAGUCAAAUUUGCAUCCAGGUCAGCAAACACAUGGGAGGGGCCAAAGUGAUGGCAACCACAGGAGGAACCAAUUUACGUGAUGACAUAAUGAGGCUUGAUGAUACAGUGCACGUGGUAAUAGCUACCCCUGGGAGAAUCCUGGAUCUUAUCAAGAAAGGAGUAGCAAAAGUUGAUCAUGUCCAGAUGAUAGUAUUGGAUGAGGCAGAUAAGUUGCUGUCACAGGAUUUUGUGCAAAUAAUGGAGGAUAUUAUUCUCACGCUACCUAAAAACAGACAGAUUUUAUUGUAUUCCGCUACUUUCCCUCUUAGUGUACAGAAGUUCAUGAAUUCCCAUUUGCAGAAACCCUAUGAGAUUAACCUGAUGGAGGAAUUAACUUUGAAGGGAGUAACCCAGUACUACGCAUAUGUAACUGAGCGCCAAAAAGUACACUGCCUCAACACACUUUUCUCCAGGCUUCAGAUAAACCAGUCGAUCAUUUUCUGUAACUCCUCUCAGCGAGUUGAAUUGCUAGCCAAGAAGAUUUCUCAACUGGGUUAUUCUUGCUUCUAUAUCCAUGCUAAAAUGAGGCAGGAACAUCGAAAUCGUGUCUUUCAUGAUUUCCGAAAUGGCUUAUGCCGCAAUCUUGUUUGCACUGAUUUGUUUACCCGAGGUAUUGAUAUACAAGCUGUGAAUGUGGUAAUAAACUUUGACUUCCCAAAGCUGGCAGAGACCUAUCUCCAUCGCAUUGGAAGAUCGGGUCGCUUUGGUCAUCUUGGCUUAGCUAUCAACUUGAUCACAUAUGAUGAUCGCUUCAACCUGAAAAGUAUUGAGGAGCAGCUGGGAACAGAAAUUAAACCUAUCCCAAGCAACAUUGACAAGAGCCUAUAUGUGGCCGAAUACCACAGCGAGCCUGUAGAAGAUGAUAAACCAUAACAAGCAUGUGCGUACCUACAGAAUAGCUAAUCAUCUCUGUUGGAAUUCACUCUUCAUUUCAAAUGGGUGCCUCAGCUUUGACAAACUAAAGAAGGCUUGCUUGGAUCUGUGACACAUCAUUUUGGGGGGGAUGCUCUUCUCUUGUGGGUUUUUCAUCUUUUAUUUUGGAACUAUGAAGAUUUAAAAGAACUCAGACAUUUUUUUCUUUUUUAACUGGUGAAGAGAAAAAAGCUGAAAAGAAGGAAUUUACCUUUUUUGUUCCACUUGUUUGCACUGUGUGCUGACUGAACAUUAGUUGCACUAACUGCUGGAUUUUUAAAAAUGUUUUCUGGGGAAAAGGGGGACAAGGAAGGAGGAGAAAGAAGAGAAGGGAGAAACCCUAAAAAGAGAAGAAUCUUGAUGAACACACAAGCUUGUCUAUUAUUUCCGAAUUCUGCAACAGCUGACUCUUGUGCAUUUCAACUUCUCCCUGAUGACUCAUCCGUUUUUUAAGCCUGAAGAGCUUAUUACUUAUUUGUGCGAAGUGCCUUAUGCUAUGAGACCAUUCAGAAUAUCAUCUUUUAGACACAGCCCAAGGAAUCAACAAUAGUAAUUCUUUCCUUUUAUUUCUUUUUAAAACUUUUUAUUUCAUUUUGGUUUCACGUUGAAGUCUCUCCCCUUUCUACCCAGUACUCAAGCCCAGGGCUGAAAGAUGAAACCUAUUAGUAAUGUUAAACACCAUUUUUUUUCUUUAAGUGGAGGAGUUGAUAUGCAACUGCAGUUCAUCCGCACUGUAAAUACAUGUAUUUAAGAAACAACCACACAAUCCCAAGUAAAAAUUUCUUCUGGGCUGAGUCGAUGCAACAUCAUUGCUCCCAAAGGAAAGAGCGUCUCUGUCAUUGCAGGAGCCAUACGACAAGCCUUUGUGCUCUGUACGGAACACUAAAGACUGGUUCACGUGUCUCCAUUCGCAGCUAUGGCACUUGAGGUGUAGCCUGUCAGCCUUGACCCUCUUUCCUCUGGCAAAGCGUGUCCCAUAGAAAACUGGGUGUGUACACUUGUAUAAACUUUGUAAAUAUGUUUUUUUCUGCGUUCAUAUAUAUAUAUAUAUAUAUAUAUAUAUAUAUAUAUAUAUACACAUACAUAUACAUAUAUAUAUAUAUAUUUUUGUUUUGUUUUUGAUGAAAGGUUGCUGGGAUAAAGGGGGAUUUAGAGUGAAUAAUGGGAGCAGCUAAGAUGAGAGGGGCUCAGUUUUCCGCAACACUAAAUUCUAGAAAGUACUUUAACCUCUUACUGUAGCAAGCAGACUCCUGUGGGGACCCUGUGCUGGGAAAGGGCCCCAGAAGUCUUCACUGUUUGCUGCCACACUGUCUCUAGUGUCUUUAGAGGAGGGAGGCCUGCCAGAGGGAGCAAGGAAACUUCAAAAACCUGUCAUUCCUGGUGUUAUUUUUGAAAGGCUCUCUCUGAUUGUGCUUUUUUCCCCUUUUUUAAAGUUUGAGAAACUUUUUAAGCUCUGCAAAAGGGGACAAAGAUUAAUUACAUUGCAGUGUGGAAACUCCCUUGAGUGGCAGUAUUGAGCAGUAUAUGUAUAAAGCGUGAGUUUGCGUUUCACAAUAUUAGCCAGUACCAGCUUCGGUAAGGCUAGCAGUUCUGGGGCUUCGUUUUUGUGGGUCACUUCCUGUACUGUGUAAGUGUGUUGCCUUCUGCCCACUUUGAUACGUAAACUUGCAGGAACGGGCAACCCUGAGAGCUGCUGCUUGCCAUGCUUUAGCUUUGUGACGAGAAUUGUCAUGUUUGCAUUGUAAAUUGCUGGCAAAUGCUUUACAGUCAAUAGUGUUGCAUUAAAUUGUGCCCCUCCCAACAUGCUUGAUGUUUGGCCUGAUCUCCAGGCAAAAGGAGUGAGAUGAAUCAAAACCAGUGAACUUUUUUUAAAAAACGUUUUUAAUUCCCUUUUAACCCAGUGUACUAGGUCAAUCAGGAGGCAUCUAGGGUUUAAAAAAAAAAGGCAAAAUAAAAAUUUUUUUAUUUGAUUUCCAUAUUCCAUUGUUUUUCAAAGCCCUAAAAUAGUACAAGUCCUGCCUAUGUUUUCAUGCUUAACUCAUCUGGAUAAAGAAAUCAGUUACUCAAAGUUUCUUUUUUGACUCUGUCUAGUUCUAAACAAAAAUGAUUUGUGACUCACCCAGAAUUCCCUGAAGAUCAAAAUCCUGCAGAUGCCUCCUGAUCAGACAUAGCCCUAACUCCUUAGAAACUAGCAAGAGCUGCACAGUACAAACCCCCCAAAAUAAGCUCAUUUAUUUGGUAUCCAUGCCACAUAGGUUCUUCUACCAGCCAUUGUUGGCAACUAAGUACAAGCCCUAGUUAAGGGAGUAACUUUUUUUCCAGGGAGGGGUGGAGGGAGGGAAUUUAAAAGGCAUCAACUUUUGACCAAAAAAUAUAUAUAUAUAUAAAUAUAUAUAUAUCUUACUGUGUACUGAUGCAGCCCUCUCUUUCCUCCCCAUCUCUGGCAAGAUAAGAGGGAUCAUUCUAGAAGAAAAGCAAGAAAGCUCAUAAAUGCAGUUUUAUAUCUCGCUAGAGUGCGGGUGACUAUAAACAGCACAGUCCUCUCUGCCAUCCUCAGACUGUCUGCUUGGUGCCACGUGCCUGUGGGUCCCUCUUAAAGCACAGACGUUAAAUUGAAAGUAUUCCUGAAGUACAGCCUCGGAUGAGGAGUGGCACUUAAACUGUCUGGGACACCGGGAUUGGACACGGCCUUGUGCGGGCAGCUGUCCAGUUUUGGUGCUUGACUCUUGAAUAGGAAUUGUAAAACGGAAAGAUGCUCUAAGGCAGCGGUCACCAACCAGUGGUCCAUGAGGUCCGAAAGGUUGGCGACUGCUGCUCUAAGACUAGGUCAAAGCCUAGUCUCUUUUUCUUUUUAAAUCCCCUUCGCAAUAAGGAGCAUUUGUUACUAUUGGAAGUUGUUUUCGUGUUCUUCCGGUAUAGGGUGUUUAUUUUAAGUCAUGGUGAUAUUUUUUCCAGUGGUUCAUUUGGAUGAAAACUAUUCCCUCUUUUUAAUACUUAAAUAACGUCAGCCCAUUGUUCAGCCUGUGGUUAUGUGGUUGUGUGAUGGUUAUGGACCCUUGCACACCUUGCUGCCUCUGGGCCUGUUUUGCCUUUCCUUUAGGAUUGGACUAAAUUCCAAAAUUAUCUUCCAUGGGAAGAAGUAAAGGAGAGAGAAAUCUAAAUAUGUCUCUAAAUUGUCCAGUUUGCCCCGCACCAUAAUACAGGGGGCCCCAAAGGCGGGGGGUGGGGGCGGGCGGUUAUCAGUAUUUGUUUUCAGAAUGAGAUGGGAGCAUCUUUCCUCUGCCGUGUGCUUUGUGUUUGAUACCAUCAUGCUUGGGUCAGAACCAGACGACUCAGCACAAAGCCUGGAGUGUAAACUGUUGGAAUCAAACAUCUCAUUCUGAUCACUUGGCUUAAUUUUUUUUCUUUUUUUUUAUAGGGGUGGGAGGGAGGUGACUGCCCAAAGGGAGGGUGUCUGCACUGAGGAUUUAGAAACACUUUGAAGCUCAUAGCCUCGUCAGAAGUUGCCUUUAGCCACACUCUGACCUUAUGGAUGAGUAACACAAAGAUGAAGUAAAUUCUUGGGAAUUAAGCCAUGUUAUUUUAAUUUGCCACUUUGUUCAGCGUUGUAUGUAUCUUAAAAAUUGUUAUUGUGAAAUCAUUUUCUGGCAAAAUAUCUUUGUCAAACAAAAUUAUAGGCCUAGUGGGAGUUGAUGUUAGUCAACUUUUUGGUGAACUUAAGUGAACUUGAGUGAGCUUGUGGUUCUACUGUAUAUCCUUAAAGAUCGUUUUUAAAGCUCCCAAAGAAAGUCUACUCCUGACCUAAAAACUCAUCUUUGGGGUAAAGAGUUAAGGGUCCAAAGGCUAUAGCAGUUCAUGAGGUCAGAGGGAGCCAGCCUGGCAUGGACUCUGCCCCUCCACAGCUGACAGGUUCCAACAGGAAGUGUAUUUAAAUUCUCUGUAGACAAUGCUGGGCAGGGGAGGGGAGGGUUGGGUUAUGAAGAUACAGGCUACUGUGUUUUAACCAGUGGUUGUGGGGAGGGGUGCCUGGAGGAAACAAAGUCACUAUUCCCUUUUUGAAACAAAACUAAAACCUGAAAAUUUUUGUUCAAUGAAAAUGGGGUCUAAUUUCAUUGUCCCUAGCCACAAGGGACCAGUUCCACUGAGAAAUGAACAGUGGGGACUCAAAAUUUUGCAAACAUUUGGGGGAAGGGACAAUUGGCUUUCUGUUAAUUGGCAAAUGUUCCAGUGGGGCUUCCUUUUUGUUGGGGGGUGUUAUGUUGUAGGUGCACAUGUGGACCAGAGUCUGCUGAGGUUAUAAAGUUCAGAAAAGAUGGUUGAUAAAAUCUUGGCUUUUGUUAAUGUAUCUCAAUAAAGCCCACUGGAACUCCA